CCUACGGGAGGCAGCAGUGGGGAAUAUUGCACAAUGGGGGAAACCCUGAUGCAGCGACGCAGCGUGAGUGAAGAAGGAUUUCGGUACGUAAAGCUCUAUCAACAGGGAAGAAAAUGACGGUACCUGACUAAGAAGCCCCGGCUAACUACGUGCCAGCAGCCGCGGUAAUACGUAGGGGGCAAGCGUUAUCCGGAUUUACUGGGUGUAAAGGGAGCGUAGACGGCAGCGCAAGUCUGGAGUGAAAGCCCAUGGCUUAACCAUGGAACUGCUUUGGAAACUGUGCAGCUAGAGUGCAGGAGAGGUAAGCGGAAUUCCUGGUGUAGCGGUGAAAUGCGUAGAUAUUAGGAGGAACACCAGUGGCGAAGGCGGCUUACUGGACUGUAACUGACGUUGAGGCUCGAAAGCGUGGGGAGCAAACAGGAUUAGAUACCCCAGUAGUC
rnacentral:rRNA from 1 species